rnacentral:tRNA from 1 species
CAAAGCCCUAGUAGCUUAAGUUAACCUAAAGCCUUG